rnacentral:tRNA from 1 species
GCCCGGAUAGCUCAGUCGGUAGAGCAGGGGAUUGAAAAUCCCCGUGUCCUUGGUUCGAUUCCGAGACCGGGCACCA